rnacentral:lncRNA from 10 species
GUGAUGGAAGCUUUCUUCCGUCUCCCCAAGAUUGGACCAGUUACUUCUCCAGUGCUUCCCUUGCACACUGUGCUUUCCCAGAACUUAAAGGGACUGUGUCUUUUUCACCUUCCUAUUUUCAUUGCUAACAAGACCUGACACACAACUGAUUCUCAAUAAGCACCAAAAGAAUGCAGAAUGCAUUUAUUUCAAGAAAGUAGAGAAUUAAGGUGCAUAUUGUUCAACUCCGUAAUUUCUAAACUUGGGUUGUGAUCAUUCUUGGCAAUAAUUAGACUCACUGCCUCUUUGGAAAAAAUACUUUCUUGGCAGGAAAAUGAAAUUAAUAAACAACAGUAUACCCCCGCCCCUCCACUGUUGUUAGCAGGGACAUGGAUCCAAGACUGGGAGGAAUGAAUCCCUCCCCAUGCCCCAAACUUCCUGUCUGUAACUGGUAAAUGGGGCUCAGGUUGUGCUUGUGAUGCCAAACAUCUUGGGACAGACCAGGAAGUCUCCUACUAUUAGUGGGAAAUUAUGCACAAUCUAAUAACACAGACCCAGUGGCACAUACCUUCAGAACAAGAAACUUUCAGGGCUGUGGAGUAAGAGCCAGGCAUAUGGACCCCUCAUGUGUACCCUAUCACAACAAUGCUUCUGCUCAUUCCUCUCAUUAAAUAAGGUCAAUUUUGCAAGAGUUUUGGUGGACAAUUAUUAGGCAUUCACUUACAGUCCUGAUUUGGCUUUUGUGGACUUCUUUUUGUUUCCCAAAUAUUAAAACAUCUGUCAAGGGCAUCCAUUUUU